rnacentral:rRNA from 1 species
AACGAACGCCGGCGGCAGGCUUAACACAUGCAAGUCGAGCGCCCCGCAUGGGGAGCGGCAGACGGGUGAGUAACGCGUGGGAAUCUACCCAUCUCUACGGAAUAACGCAUGGAAACGUGUGCUAAUCCCGUAUACGUCCUUCGGGAGAAAGAUUUAUCGGAGAUGGAUGAGCCCGCGUUGGAUUAGGGAGUUGGUGGGGUAAAGGCCUACGAAGGCGACGAUCCAUAGCUGGUCUGAGAGGAUGAUCAGCCACACUGGGACUGGGUCACGGCCCGGACUCGUACGGGAGGCAGCAGAUGGGAAUAGAGGACAGUGGGCGCAAGGCUGAACCAGCCAGGCCGGGAGAGUGAUGAAGGCGCUAGGGAUGUAAAGCUCUUUCACCGGUGAAGAUAAUGACGGUACCCGGAGAAGAAGCCCCGGCUAACUUCGUGCCAGCCGCCGCCGUAAAAC